GGCUUUAUGGUGGUGCAGUUGGUAGCGCUGUUGCCUCUCUGCAAGAAGGUCCUGGGUUUGAAUCCCAGCCUUUGGUCU